CCCAGACUCCUACGGGAGGCAGCAGUGGGGAAUAUUGCACAAUGGGGGAAACCCUGAUGCAGCAACGCCGCGUGAGUGGAGAAGUAUUUCGGUAUGUAAGGCUCUAUCAGCAGGGAAGAAGAUGACGGUACCUGAGUAAGAAGCCCCGGCUAACUACGUGCCAGCAGCCGCGGUAAUACGUAGGGGGCAAGCGUUAUCCGGAUUUACUGGGUGUAAAGGGAGCGUAGACGGUGAGACAAGUCUGAAGUGAAAGCCCGGGGCUCAACCCCGGGACUGCUUUGGAAACUGCCUGACUGGAGUGCUGGAGAGGCAAGCGGAAUUCCUAGUGUAGCGGUGAAAUGCGUAGAUAUUAGGAAGAACACCAGUGGCGAAGGCGGCUUGCUGGACAGUAACUGACGUUGAGGCUCGAAAGCGUGGGGAGCAAACAGGAUUAGAUACCCCCGUACCA
rnacentral:rRNA from 1 species